AUUCUUGUACAGAAACAUCACAAAGGUCAUUUUUCCAGGGCAAAGCUUAUCCACUGCAUUUUGGAUGUGCUGAGCCCUGUGAUUUACCCAAAUUUUGCAAACUUGACUGCACAAUUUGUGGUACUGGGGGAGUGCAUUUGCUCUUUCAAC
rnacentral:snRNA from 1 species